rnacentral:pre_miRNA from 1 species
UCUCCAUAGGUUGGCCGGCCCCUAGGCUCAGCUGGGUGAGUAGCUCUUCCAAAGGCUCACCCUCAAACACAACUAAAGC